CCUGGCGCGGUGGCUCACACCUGUAAUCCCAGCACUUUGGAAGGCUGAGGCGGGUGGAUCAUGAGGUCAGGAGAUCGAGACCAUCCUGGCUAACACGGUGAAACCCCAGCUCUACUAAAAAAUACAAAAAACUAGCCGGNNNNNNNNNNCCGGCUAGUUUUUUGUAUUUUUUAGUAGAGCUGGGGUUUCACCGUGUUAGCCAGGAUGGUCUCGAUCUCCUGACCUCGUGAUCCACUCGUCUCGGC
rnacentral:SRP_RNA from 1 species